GAUGAACGCUGGCGGCGUGCCUAAUACAUGCAAGUCGAACGAGAGCAUCCGGUGCUUGCUCUGGUCAAUCUAGUGGCGAACGGGUGAGUAACACGUGGGUAACCUGCCCAUCAGAGGGGGAUAACAUCCGGAAACGGAUGCUAAAACCGCAUAGGUCUUCGAACCGCAUGGUUUGAAGAGGAAAAGAGGCGCAAGCUUCUGCUGAUGGAUGGACCCGCGGUGCAUUAGCUAGUUGGUGAGGUAACGGCUCACCAAGGCCGUGAUGCAUAGCCGACCUGAGAGGGUGAUCGGCCACAUUGGGACUGAGACACGGCCCAAACUCCUACGGGAGGCAGCAGUAGGGAAUCUUCCGCAAUGGACGCAAGUCUGACGGAGCAACGCCGCGUGAGUGAAGAAGGUUUUCGGAUCGUAAAACUCUGUUGUUAGAGAAGAACAAAUGCUAGAGUAACUGUUAGCGCCUUGACGGUAUCUAACCAGAAAGCCACGGCUAACUACGUG
rnacentral:rRNA from 1 species